rnacentral:ribozyme from 1 species
UUUUUUUUUUUUUUUUUUUUUUUUUUUUUUUUUUUUUUUUUCCU